ACACAGGAAAGGGGGCAAUGUGUGCUCCACCAUCCAGACCCAAACCCCAGCAAGCCACCACUGGAGCUACUCAAUUAAAGAGCAUGCUAGCAAACCUGCGGACGAACAUCGCAGCUAACAUGGCCGGCAUUAAAUAUGCUAUCGAAGGCUUCACCUCAAGGUUCACCCUGGGGGCCUCAUCAAGUUUCCAAGACCACAGAAUUAACUCCAUGGAGGUUAAAAUAGCUGAGAUCCAGCAGCAACAAACAGUCAC